GUGCUACCAUACCUGGCUAAUUUCUUUUAAAAUUAUUUGUAGAGACAGGGUUUCAUUAUAUUGCUCAGGCUGGUAUCAAACUCCUGGGCUUAAGCAAGCCUCUCACCUCGGACUCCCAACAUGCUAGGAUUACAGGUGCAUGCCACCACACCCAGCUACUUUUUUUGUUUGUUUUUUGUAGAGAUUGGGGAUCUCACUAUGUUGCUUCAGCUUGUCUCCAACUCCUGGGCUCAAGGGAUCCUCCCAUCUCAGCCUCCCAAAGUGCUGGGAUUACAGGCAUGAGCCACUGUGCCUAGCCUUCUUAUAUCUAUGCUAUGAUGCCUCACUAAAUUUAUGAAAACGUUAGUAUGAUUACGUAUUCUUAUAGAGGCAAGUGCUUCCUUUCCUGAACCAUCAUAGCAUUUUAGUUAUGUCUUCCUUGUGAUUUUGAGCACUUUUAAACUUGCAAAAGAAGUAUUUGUGAAUAGUCUUCUCUUCCUUGCUAGACUGUAGGCUCUUUGAGGAUAAAUUAUUAUUAUUAUUUGAGACAGGGUCUCACUCUGUCACUCAGGCUGGAGUGCAGUGGCUUGAGUAAGGCUUACUGCAGCCUUGACCUCCUGGGCUCAAUCGGUUAUCUUACCUCAGCCUCCUGAGUAACUGGGACCACAAGUGCAUGCCACCAUGACCAGCUAAUUGUUGUAUAUUUUGUAGAGAUGGGGUAUCACCAUGUUGCCUAGGCUGGUUUUCAACUCCUGGGCUCAAGUGAUCUGCCCACCUCAGCCUCCCAAAGUACUACAGGCAUAAGCCAUCACACUCGGCCCGACAAAUUAUGGUUUUUAACAUUUUUUAUAACUGACUGCACCCAAAAGAGUACAUUUACUAUGGAGUUCAGUAAAUAUCUAUUUUAAAAAAAACCAGUCCCAUAGCAUUUUAAAAAAUAUGAACUCAACAUCUCUUUGUAUCAAUAAAAGUAAGAUAUAUAUUUGAUUAAGAUAUCUCUAGUUCACCUAAGUUCAAUCAGAUGCUAGACAGAUUGAAUACUAAUUGAGGAGAUUAAUCACAAACAAUUUAUGUCCAAACACUGAAAAAUGUGGUAAAUAUCUGAUGAAUGAGUUGAUGAAUAUUCAUUUUUCUCCUUUUAUAUAUAUCCCUUUGACAUAGUCUCUGUGCAUGUUUUUGUG
rnacentral:lncRNA from 1 species